rnacentral:rRNA from 1 species
CCUACGGGAGGCAGCAGUGAGGAAUAUUGGUCAAUGGGCUUGAGCCUGAACCAGCCAAGUCGCGUGAGGGAAGACUGUCCUAUGGAUUGUAAACCUCUUUUGUCAGGGAGCAACGCCGGCUACGUGUGCCCGGACUGAGAGUACCUGCAGAAUAAGCAUCGGCUAACUCCGUGCCAGCAGCCGCGGUAAUACGGAGGAUGCGAGCGUUAUCCGGAUUUAUUGGGUUUAAAGGGUGCGUAGGCGGAAUGCCAAGUCAGCGGUAAAAUCGCGGGGCUCAACCCCGGUCCGCCGUUGAAACUGGCGUUCUUGAGUGGGCGAGAAGUAUGCGGAAUGCGUGGUGUAGCGGUGAAAUGCAUAGAUAUCACGCAGAACUCCGAUUGCGAAGGCAGCAUACCGGCGCCCGACUGACGCUGAGGCACGAAAGCGUGGGGAUCGAACAGGAUUAGAUACCCGGGUAGUC